rnacentral:lncRNA from 1 species
CUCUAAGGGUCUGUGGGGACUUGGCAGGGGGUCUCUGUGGGGCUGCCAGGGUUCUGACUCCCCCUCCCCACAGGGCAUCCACUGGUUCCCCUGGAAAGGCUUCAACGUCUCCAUCCCCUUCACCGAGAUGAAGCUGAGGCCCCCAGCGUGGCUGAGGGGGCUGGGGAGGGGGGAUCUCAGAGUCUGGGGUCCCCCUGAGUGCUGGGAAUGAGGGAUCCCAGAGUUUGGGGAGGGGUCCCAGAUGGAAUCUGGGGAGGCUGAAAGGUGAAACUUUUAUUGCGGGUAAAUAAAAGCCGUGGGUGACUCCUCUGUGCUGUGCUGAGCCAGGGUGGGAGGGACUGGGGCUGAGGGCAGGGUCCUUCCAGAGCCAAGGUCACCCCUGGUCAGGAGGGCAGCUCCAAAUCCUCCUGGCACUUCUGGUGCCAGUUCUGGUGCCAGUUCUGGUGCCAAUCCCGCGCUGGCCCUGGAGAUGCUGGAAUGUCCCAGCCUGGGCAUGGGAACACGUGGACAGGGAUGGGGUGGGAUGAACCAUCCAGGGAAGGCAAAAAGAGCUCAGAGGAUCAGAGAAACCUCCCUGGAACACAACUGCACACCUGCAAGGAGCACAAAGGGUGCCAGGCUGAGUGCCAGGCUGGGCAGAGGUGCCCCUUCCCUCCUGCCCACUCCUGCCACCUGCAGCUGCCCCAGCCCGGCUGCAGAGGCAGAACCUGCACGGCUCUGCCAGCACACGGGGGCUCAGGGCCAGCCCCAGGCAGCAGCGCCACAGCACCCGCACACCAACUGCCACAGCCUGGCACUGGGCACUGCCCACAGCCCCUCCUGGGCACAGAACCCACAGCUCAGCCCCCCCGGCCCAGGGGCAGAGCCCAGCCGGGACCUGAUCUGCAGAACCAAACCAAGCCCAGAGCUUUGGGCACAGCUGUGGAGCUGCUGUGGUUAUUGCAGAGCUGGAGCCAGGUGGGAAUCAUUGCCCUGCCAGGCCAUGGGCACCUCUGGGCACUCCAGACCCUUUCCCAGCUCCCUCUCCAAUCCACACCCAGGCUGUUCCACACGGGGUUCAGACACAUUCAUCCUACUGAUUUCCAGGGAUAUUUGCAGGGAAUUCUCCUUCCUCAGGAAGAAUCCCUGGCUCAUUCAGACCCUGCUUUCCAGAGCAGCCUCUCUCUCUGCUGCAGAGCCCAAGGCCCCCCUGAUCUCUGCCCUUGGUGGGAGCAGAUUCUCAGAGCACAGCCUUGCCAGCAGAACAGGCACUCAGAGCAAGCAGCCAGCUACAGACUUCACCCAAACACAAACAUUUCCCCUGAAUCCAAAGGGAUUUCUGCUCUGGAGAAUCCCCACUCUGCCUCAGAGCCCUCUCCUGGAGCUGCCAGCCCGGCCCCAGCCCUCCAUGGCCCCGCUGGGAAAAGCUGCACGGCCGGAGGGCUCGGGGGCUGGCCGGGCCUCAGAGCAAUUCUAGAGCUAAAGCACGAGAGACAUCAGCUCUGCUCAGAUAAUACAUGCCAGCGCUCAUCCCGGGCCCGGCCCUGCCUCCUCCUCCUCCUCCUCCUCCUCCUCCUCCUCCUCCCAGCCCGGGGCCGCUCCCCGCGGCUGCAGCCGGGCCCGGCCAGCGCCGCCCUUGGAGCUGCCCCUUCCACAGCCCCUGCAGCCCUGACUUUGGCACAUUUUCUCAGCCUUCUGAUCUUUACAUCCUUCCCAGACACUUUCUCACCCACCUUUUGGCAAUCACUGACGGGUUGGCAUUCCCUUAGGGAGCAGGAGGAAUUCCAUGGGCUGCUGGCCGCUCCGGUGUCAUUGCAGAGGUGGCACUGUCACCGCCAGCCCAGGGGCACCUUUGGCACUCUGGAAAUGUUGCAGUCAGAUAAUCAAGUUCCCUUUUUCCCCUCCAGACCAGCGCUGUGGCUGUGCCCGCCUUGUUCCGUGCCCCGCAGUGACACAGCCCUGGCACCGCCACCCUCGGGGGCUCUGCCUGGGGGCUCCCUGCUCCAUCCACCCCCGGGCCUUUCACCCCCAUCCCCUCUGCUCCCCCCCAGACACCCAAACUCUCUGGGCCACGGCUCCCACCGGGCCAGGAAGGAUUUUUUGCUCUUUCUGCCCCAAGUGAGUCAGAGAUGGACAAGGAGAUGAUUGGCAAUUCCAAGAGAACUGUGCUGUGACCAUGAAGAAAAGCUUUAGCGAUGCACAGCUCUGUGCUUGGAGCUCAGAUCUCCUCCCUUCUCCCCACAGUUCCCUUUUCCCCUGCACUGCUGCCACCACACAGCCUGAAUUGGCUGGGACAGGUACAGAGGAGCUGCACAGGUGUCCCUUACCUGGGGCAGGGGGGAUGGAAAAGCUCAGGGGGUGCUCAGGGGGGGCAGCAUGGCAGCCCCUGAGCUGCAGUGCAGUGCCAGGAAAGCAGUGUGCCCUGAUAGAUGGCACAGAGGAGCUGGCUGGCAGCCUGGGGAGGGGCAGGGCUGGCUGGUGCAGCCCCCAGGGCUGGAACAGACUGAGCACCCACCUGGAAGGUGAACCGGCCUCGGGCUGUGCACGAGGGCAGCUCCCAGCACAGUUGCUUUUUCCCCAUGGAGCCCUUUGUGGUGGUUUUGUCUGGGUUUAUUGAACCUUUUCAAAUGUCCGAAGUGAGCAGCUGCUGCCCACAAUGUGUGAAGGGGCUGCGGGCACUGGAGCCCAGCCCUGCCUGAGGAGCCUCCUGAGGGCACCUUUGGGCUGGCACUGAGGGGAACCUGAGCCAGACCAAGGUGACCCUGCUGCUCAGAUCUCUGGGCUCCGGAGAGAAGGAAACAAGGCUGAGGGAGAAGAAAGCGUCCCCCAAAAGCCAAAGCCAGCAGCUGCCCUGAAAAUCAGCUCUGGCUGCCUUUCCAUGGGGCCCACAGCCCCCAGUGCCCCGGGGCUGGCACACGCUGCCCUCGCCCAAAGGCUGCAGGAGAGGAUCUGGGCUGUGCCAGCUUCUGCCCUGAGGCACUGAACGCCCAUCCUCCCUGCCAGCCAAGGGCUCAGCAGGAAAACCCCCAGCCCAGACAGGC